rnacentral:lncRNA from 1 species
GUUAUCUUAACAGUAUGAGGUCAUCAGGGCCCAGACUGAGAAAACUGGACUAUGACAAAUUUGCUGUUUAGGGGAGACCCAGAUGGCCCAGAAUUAAAGCAACAGGGUCAUCUGCUGCAAGGACAGCCCGUUGAGCUUUGAAUGUAACCUGAACUGCCAGCUCUGGUCAUUCAUAAUUCUCUCUCCCCAUCAUCUUCUUGCUGUGACUUGGUCCCUAAGGGAGAAGGAAAGCCACAGCAAACUCUAAAUAAACAGCUUCCACAGCCCGAGAUUUCUCCCAGACCCCCUGAUGAAAGGAGCCGGGUUGGAACAGAGGCUGGGAGGAGCCCAGUUAAUAUAUGACAGUCAUUAUCAGAGGGAUUUUGGUGCUGCUGGAAAGCUAUAGCGGACAACACUCAGAAAAUGGACAGAAGGAAAAAUUAGUAGCCUGAAGUGGGCCUAGCUCUUCCUCUUCUCUGUUGGUGCAUCCAUACAUUCCUGGUGACAUCUUCUCCUAU